rnacentral:rRNA from 1 species
GAUGAACGCUAGCGGCAGGCUUAACACAUGCAAGUCGAGGGGCAGCAUAAUGAAGUAGCAAUACUGAAUUGAUGGCGACCGGCGCACGGGUGCGUAACGCGUAUGCAACCUACCCAUAACAGGGGGAUAACACUGAGAAAUUGGUACUAAUACCGCAUAAUACUUUAGGAGGCAUCUUUUGAAGUUGAAAGUUCCGGCGGUUAUGGAUGGGCAUGCGUUGUAUUAGCUAGAUGGUGAGGUAACGGCUCACCAUGGCGACGAUACAUAGGGGGACUGAGAGGUUAACCCCCCACACUGGUACUGAGACACGGACCAGACUCCUACGGGAGGCAGCAGUGAGGAAUAUUGGUCAAUGGACGCAAGUCUGAACCAGCCAUACCGCGUGCAGGAAGACGGCUCUAUGAGUUGUAAACUGCUUUUGUACAAGGGUAAACCCUGGGACGUGUCCCAGGCUGAAAGUACUGUACGAAUAAGGAUCGGCUAACUCCGUGCCAGCAGCCGCAGUAAAAC